AACGAACGCUGGCGGCAGGCUUAACACAUGCAAGUCGAGCGCCCCGCAAGGGGAGCGGCAGACGGGUGAGUAACGCGUGGGAAUCUACCCUUUUCUACGGAAUAACGCAGGGAAACUUGUGCUAAUACCGUAUGAGCCCUUCGGGGGAAAGAUUUUAUCGGGAAAGGAUGAGCCCGCGUUGGAUUAGCUAGUUGGUGGGU
rnacentral:rRNA from 1 species